rnacentral:rRNA from 1 species
GACGGAGGAUGCAAGUGUUAUCCGGAAUCACUGGGCGUAAAGCGUCUGUAGGUGGUUUAAUAAGUCAACUGUUAAAUCUUGAGGCUCAACUUCAAAAUCGCAGUCGAAAACUAUUAGACUAGAGUAUAGUAGGGGUAAAGGGAAUUUCCAGUGGAGCGGUGAAAUGUGUAGAUAUUGGAAAGACCACCGAUGGCGAAGGCACUCUACUGGGCCAUGACUGACACUGAGAGACGAAAGCUAGGGGGAGCAAAAUGGG